CCACCGGAGGCUUUGGUGAGGGGAGGGGAAACACGGAGAGAACCCCCAUCUUCAGCCUGACCUCCGGGAGCCGGGCCAGCAGCCUCUCCUCGGGUGUGUCCCCCCUAGAUGUGCCCCAUCCCCCAGCACCAUCCCUGCAGCUGAGAGCACCCCCCCCCUUUCCACUGCUGCUCUGAAACCAAGGGCCCUGAGGACUGGCAUCAACUAGAUCCACUCCACCUAUGAUCUGCCUUCCCCCAUCAAGUUCACUUCAAUUUUUUAACAACAGCGGCUUUUUUUUUUUUUUUAUUUUAUUUAUUUAUUUUUUUGGCUCCGUUGUGUCUUCGUUGCUGUGUGCGGGCUUUCUCUAGUUGCAGCAUCGCUUGAAUUGUUUUUAUGAAAACUUGCGUAUCCUCUGAGUGGCACGGAGCCUAAACGGUAAGACGUUUGCCUGAGUUGUUGCUUCAGGAACUUGGUAUCAGCUGUGUCCAGUUCUAGCUGAGCUGGUGAGUGGUUAGGACCACCGACCCUCCAACUGAAAUCGAGCACUGGGCUCAUGUGCCUGCGGGCAGAAAGUCAACCUCUGACGGCAGGCUUUGCAGCAAAGCCAUCUUGCCCUGGAAGAUGACUCAGAAUGGCACGUGAACAUGAUGCUUAUUGGGAAGCUGAGGCUCCAGGCACCUGACCUGCAUUGCUCCUUAUUGAUGAGGCAAACGUGACCAUCCUCAUCCCGUAAAUACCCGUCCUUGGCCCUUGGGUAGGCGGCCUCUUUUCUCUGCUGUGAACCUCGGCGUCUCGGCAUCUGGCUCAGUGACACUUCUGCCUCUGCUCCAUCCAUGCCUUUCUCUACUCUGCAGCUAGAGCCCCGCAAACUAACUCGGGGUCAUCGUGAAGGUAGGGUCCCCGUCGCCCUCACCGGCUCAGCUCCCUGGGCGCAAGCCACUGGGCACCAUGGGCCCCAAACCACCC